UAUUGGGCAAUGGACGCAAGUCUGACCCAGCCACGCCGCGUGAGGGAUGACGGCCCUAUGGGUUGUAAACUUCUUUUGUAUGGGAAGAAACCCCCGAACGUGUUCGGGGCUGACGGUACCAUAAGAAUAAGCAUCGGCUAACUCCGUGCCAGCAGCCGCGGUAAUACGGAGGAUGCAAGCGUUGUCCGGAUUCAUUGGGUUUAAAGGGUGCGUAGGCGGAGAACUAAGUCAGUGGUGAAAGCUUACGGCUUAACUGUAAAAUUGCCAUUGAAACUGAUUUUCUUGAGUUCGAUUGAGGUAGAUGGAAUGUAUCAUGUAGCGGUGAAAUGCUUAGAUAUGAUACAGAACACCAAUUGCGAAGGCAGUCUACUAAGUCGAUACUGACGCGAGGCACGAAA
rnacentral:rRNA from 1 species